CCAGGUUUUUGCAAAUACCAUUUCCCUCUUCUCUCCUUCCUCCUCCCUCACUUUUAGGGCCCAUUCCCACUUCCUCUCUCUUUAGAGACUAAGCAAGGACCUCUCCCAGAGGACACAAUCUCCGCACUAAGCUCUCAGGCAGCCGGGAUUGCAAGAAGGAAGAGCAGAGAAAUGAGCCUCCAGAGCGGGAUCCCAAGGGUGUCUCCAGGUGGCUGUGGGUACUGCUUGCUCUGCUGGUUGCUGUCCAAAUCUGGUGCUCAGUGGAGGCAGAGGUGUGGGCCUCGGGGGAGCAGAGGCCGCCAGUGCUGCCAGGGGCCUUUCAUUACUCAUUGCUAAUUGUGGCAAAUGGGGAUUUUAUUGCUCCCUUGGCCCUCACUGUGAGCUACAGCAGCUCCUUGACAAGGAGGUGGAAGACCAGCCUGGGAGACCCUGCCUGGCUGCUGCAUUCAGCCCUGCACACGAGCCUGGGUCCAACAGCCAUCUGGAUGAGGUGGUGGGAGUCCUCAGCAUGGGCCAUUCAUAUUGAGAUAACACCCGGACACCCACGGCUCUCAGUAAGUGCUCACUGCUCUGCUGUAUUGGUGGUUCCUGCAGAGCUGCAGAGAGGACAGGGACUCCUCACUAUCCCAUAAGAGAAGCCAAGCCCAGAUGUGAGCUGGACGAGUUCCGUUGGGACUAAUGAUGACUGUUGGCAUAAAAACACAUCACCCGUGCUGGAGGACUCGCAGUCAUCCCACCCAGACCUGGGUCUCCUCCCCAAACUCUUCCUCCGUGGAAGCAACCCCUGCCGUCCUCCUGGGUGCCCUCUCU
rnacentral:lncRNA from 1 species